rnacentral:tRNA from 1 species
UCCGGGGUGGUGCAAUUUGGUAGCACACCAGACUUUGGAUCUGGUUAUCCUGGUUCGAGUCCAGGCCCCGGAGCCA